GGAUUAGAUACCCUGGUAGUCCACGCCGUAAACGAUGCACACUAGGUCGCGGUACCUCUCAUGGUUUCGCUGCCGAAGGUAAACUGGUAAGUGUGCCGCCUGGGGAGUACGGUCGCAAGGCUAAAACUCAAAGGAAUUGACGGGGGCUCACACAAGCGGUGGAGCAUGUUGCUUAAUUCGAAGCAACGCGAAGAACCUUACCAAGGCUUGACAUGUAUGGAUUAACUUUUCGAAAGAUAGGCCACGCCCUUUGGGUGGAACAUACACAGGUGCUGCAUGGCUGUCGUCAGCUCGUGUCG
rnacentral:rRNA from 1 species